CUCAACUUUUGCGCGUGUAUGUUGAUAAUUCCUAGGCAGCCAUCCACUUGUAUGUGUGUGUCUAAUUCCCAGUUGGCGUGUAUGUAUAUAAUUCCGGCCAAAACUCUCCUCCUUCCCAAUUGCCGUUUAUUGAUACGUGUGUAUAUAUAUAAAAAAAUCAGCCCACUUCUUCCCUGAAUUCCUUCUGCCGGCCACCAAUUUGUAUGUAUAUAAAAUCUGAUUUAGCCACACCUUUAUGUAUCUGAAUUCCUCCUUUUUGUGCUUUUUGUCUAUUUUUUUUCCAGCGAACUUUCUGCCUUUUUCUCUCCCAUGGUUGACGUGUGAUGUGUAUCUUCCUUCCACCAGUUGGCUGCUCGUACAUUAAAGGUAGCCGUCCAACUUCC
rnacentral:lncRNA from 1 species